rnacentral:lncRNA from 1 species
CAAACUCCUACCAAGGUCGGGCUCCGUCUGAACUUCUACAGUGGGUGGAUCACAGACGAGCUUCUACAAUGAACAGGCUCCACCAGCAGGAUCUCUACUCCGAACCUCUUUCGGACUUCGUCAAGGACCAAACUUCUACGACAACCGAUCUCUAGCGGUGGGACUUCUACAGUAAGCGGUCUACUCCGAACUUCUACAAUAAUCAGUCUCCAUCCGGGC